GUGGUUUGUAAAAUACAUUAUUUCGUACUCCUAAAGCAAUAAUUUCAUUUUUAUCACCCAGUUUACUGCGACUUUAUUCCUCGAGUGCAAUUUGAAUAUUUUAUUGUACCGCUUUGUUUAUUACGAAAGAAAAAACAAUUUUCAGUUCAGAUGGCGCGCGGGUGGGCUGCGCAGGAGCAUCAUAACAAAGCGUGAUGUUGUCUAUGGAUACAGCGCGACCUCCGGCUGGAUAUGGACGCCAGUCUCCGUUACCGUUGUCUUCCACUUUUGGAGUGUAUAAUGAUUGUCUGGAAAUUUUAUAUUAAUAAAUAUGUAUUUUAAUGACGGUAAUAGGUAGUACCAGGCACUGAUUACGGUUGUACGCAAUAUCAACGUAUAAAAAAGUA